rnacentral:rRNA from 1 species
GAGCACGUAGGUGGGUUUGUAAGUCGGUUGUGAAAGCCUUCCGCUCAACGGGAGAACAGCAUCCGAUACUGCAUGGCUUGAGUGUGAGAGGGGAGAGUGGAACUUCUGGUGGAGCGGUGAAAUGCGUAGAUAUCAGAAGGAACGCCGGCGGCGAAGGCGACUCUCUGGUCCGUAACUGACGCAGAGUGUGCGAAAGCUAGGGGAGCAAACGGGAUUAGAUACCCCGGUAGUCCUAGCCGUAAACGAUGGGCACUAAGUAGAGGGGUUUU